AGGGUCAAAAGCAAUGUUGGGUAACACCUCCAUUUAAAGGACCAACAGGAGGAAGAGGAGACAGCAAAGAGAUGCAACUUCCGGGCUUCCCUGGUGGCGCCGUGGUUGAGAGUCUGCCUGCCAAUGCAGGGGACACGGGUUCGAGCCCUGGUCUGGGAAGAUCCCACAUGCCGUGGAGCGACUGGGCCCAUGAGCCACAAUUGCUGAGCCUGCGCAUCUGGAGCCUGUGCUCCGCAACAAGAGAGGCCGCGAUAGUGAGAGGCCCGCGCACCGCGAUGAAGAGUGGCCCCCGCUUGCCACAACUAGAGAAAGCCCUCGCACAGAAACGAAGACCCAACACAGCCAUAAAUAAAUAAAUAAAUUAAAAAAAAAAAAAAAGAUGCAACUUCCAGUAAGAAAUAUAUCUUACACACUGGGACUCAGUAUGUGCUCUACACACAUACAAUUGAGACAAAUGUUUCAGAAAACAAUAGUUUAAUGAAAUAAUGUUUGUCUUUAUUAUGUGCAAUGGUUCUGAUAACUUCUAUUCUAUUCGUUUUAAAUUAAGUUUUAAAAGUAUAAUUGAUUAUAUGCUCUAUGUAAUAAAUUCAAACAAAACAAAAGUAGUACAGUAAAACUAAAAUUUCUCCUUCAUACCUGCCAUCCUUCCAAAUCCCAUUUCCCAGCUCAGAGGAGGAUUGGGAAUUAACAAUUUGAAUUUGAAGUGUAUCCUUUGAAAGCAUUUUCUGUGCAUUUAAAUAAGUAUGCACACACACACACACAAAGUUGUUUUGUUUUGGUUUUGGUUUUUACGAAUGUGAUCAUAUAUACUCGUGUUCUGAAACUUGAUUUUUUUUUUCUCUCUUUCUCUCUGUUGAAGGGAUUUUUAUGUCAAUACAUUAUUAUCCACCUCAUUCUUUAGAAAGGCUUGUAGCUUUCCAUAUGAAUGUACUGUGAUUUAUUUAAAGCAUCCCUCUAUUGCAGGACAGUGAAAUUGAUUCUAAUUUUUUAGUUUCACACAGUGCUACAACGAACAUCUGUCUACAGAUGUGAAUAAUUUUAAGGAAGAGAAUCUUGGAAAUAAAUAAAUAAGUAAAUGAAUAGGAACAUUUUGAUAGAUAUUACCAGAUAGGCUUCUUUAAAGGCCAAGGUCAGUGUACACAAUGACAUAUGAUAACCAAUGAUAGUCUAUUGUCAGUGAUAGUCUAUAAUCAAUUUGUCCAUUUUUUGGGGUCUAUUUCUUGAUUUUGUCUUGCUUUGUAAGGACUUUCCCAUUAUGAAAAUCAUAAACACUCUCCCAUAUUUCUGUUUAUUAAUUUUAUAGUUUUAUUUUGUAUUUAACCUACAGCUUUUUAAAUGUAUCCAAUUUUUUAAAUUGGUGAGAAGGGGAGAUAAAACUAUUUUUUUCCCACAUGGACAGCCAAUUUUUCCAACACUAUUUUGUUAAACAUUAUAACCCUUCCAAUGUUGUAAAAUCUACCUUUAUCCUAUCUGUAUUCUAAUAUGUGGCCUCUGGUCUGUGCCAUUGAUGUAUUAUCUAUUGCAGCAACAAUUCCACAUGAUUUAAUGAUAGUAGCUUUAUGGUUUAUUUGAUAACUGGGAGGGCAAUAUUGCCCCUGUUGCUUUUGUUUUUCUCAUUUUCUUGGUUAUUCUCAUGUACUUACUUUUAAGGACAACCUUUACAGUCACUUUAUGUUCCAUUAUAAAAUCCCUUUAGGGUGUUGGCUGUGAUUUGCCUAUAUUUUCUGUAUGAAAUGUUAUCCAAAGUCAUCCAUUUACAGUAAGGCAUGGAGGAUCAGAUGUUUGAGGACAGUGAGGGUUUGAGAUCAUUGUAAUAGAAAGUAAAAGAGGGGCUUCCCUGCUGGCGCAAUGGUUAAGAAUCCACCUGGAAAUGCAGAGGACACAGGUUCGAGCCCUGGUGCGGGAAGAUCCCACAUGCCACGGAACAACUAAACCUGUGUGCCACAACUACUGAGCCUGCACUCUAGAGCCUGCAAGCCGCAGCUACUGAGCCCGCGUGCCUAGAGCCCGUGCUCUGCAACAAUAGAAGCCCUCGCCCACAUGCAGCAACGAAGACCCAGUGCAGCCAUAAAUAAAUAAAUAAAUUAAUUAAUUAAUUAAUUUUUUAAAAAAGUAGAAGAGCUGGCUUAACAGAGUGUCCUACAGAGGAGGAAGCAGCCAAGAAUUUAUAAGAGUGUCUAUCUGCAGUUUGGGUGAUUUUUUCAUCCACGCUCAGCUGCUCACGAGCAGGCAUGAAGAAGGAUUUUAGUUGGGUUCAUGUUGGGAUUGGGUGUGGCUAAGACCAGCAUAAUAGAGGGAGAGAAGAACAAAAGAAAUGAAGAUAUUUUUAUCUCUUUGUCUUCCUUUUGGUAAAGAUAGAACACAAAUAAUUUUGUUUUCUAUUCAUCAAAUGGGAAUAUGUGUGAACAAAUGAAGAGAGGUACAAUUUUUUUGUUUUGUUGUUGCUUUAAACAUGUUAGUAAAAUAAAAAUGUUAACUUGUGAGCAAGAAAGCUAAAUUACAACUGAUCUUAAUAUUGUAUAAAUAAUUUAUCAUACGUAUAUAAUCAUGUUAUACUUGAGAUACUUCCCUUGUAACAGGAGAGCACUUUUGGUGUGAACUCCUAUUUUUUGAGUGUGUAUAUAUUUCCCUAACAUUUUCUUUGGUACUAAGCAUUCUCAAAUGUGUUCCCAGGGGUAUCUGGAAAUGUUGGUACAUAGCCAUUUGGCAGUUUAGGGAUUUGUUAGAGUGUGGGAAAAUUCCAAGGUUAUUUUCAGGUUACAACAUCUGCAUACUUCUUUGCAGGUCCAAAGAAUAAUUUAGUUUUAAAACUGUAAGGAUACCUUAGUCUUGGUCCUCACUGAGAGGAGAAAUUACUUCUAUCUUUGAAGAAAUAUCAUUCAAAAGAAAAUCCUGAGUUAGAAAAUUGUAGACCUAAAUCCAGAUGAAAUAAAAAAAUCUACUAAUAUUUCAAA